rnacentral:rRNA from 1 species
AUUGAACGCUGGCGGCAGGCCUAACACAUGCAAGUCGAACGAGUGGCGGACGGGUGAGUAAUGUCUGGGAAACUGCCUGAUGGAGGGGGAUAACUACUGGAAACGGUAGCUAAUACCGCAUACCAUCGGAUGUGCCCAGAUGGGAUUAGCUAGUAGGUGGGGUAAAGGCUCACCUAGGCGACGAUCCCUAGCUGGUCUGAGAGGAUGACCAGCCACACUGGAACUGAGACACGGUCCAGACUCCUACGGGAGGCAGCAGGGGGGAAUCUUGCACAAUGGGCGCAAGCCUGAUGCAGCCAUGCCGCGUGUAUGAAGAAGGCCUUCGGGUUGUAAAUGUCUGUCAGCAGGGAGGCGUUACCCGCACAGAAAGCACCGGCUAACUCCGUGCCAGCAGCCGCGGUAAUUC